GACGAACGCUGGCGGCGUGCCUAAUACAUGCAAGUAGAACGCUGAAGAGAGGAGCUUACUCUUCUUGGAUGAGUUGCGAACGGGUGAGUAACGCGUAGGUAACCUGCCUUGUAGCGGGGGAUAACUAUUGGAAACGAUAGCUAAUACCGCAUAACAAUGGAUGACACAUGUCAUUUAUUUGAAAGGGGCAAUUGCUCCACUACAAGAUGGACCUGCGUUGUAUUAGCUAGUAGGUGAGGUAAUGGCUCACCUAGGCGACGAUACAUAGCCGACCUGAGAGGGUGAUCGGCCACACUGGGACUGAGACACGGCCCAGACUCCUACGGGAGGCAGCAGUAGGGAAUCUUCGGCAAUGGGGGCAACCCUGACCGAGCAACGCCGCGUGAGUGAAGAAGGGUUUCGGAUCGUAAAGCUCUGUUGUAAGUCAAGAACGGGUGUGAGAGUGGAAAGUUCACACUGUGACGGUAGCUUAACAGAAAGGGACGGCUAACUACGUG
rnacentral:rRNA from 1 species